rnacentral:tRNA from 1 species
GCCUGGCUGGCUCAGCCUAUAGAGCUUGGGACUCUUGAUCCUGGGGUCGUGAGUUCAAGCCCCACUUUGGGCA